AUACGUAGGUGGCAAGCGUUGUCCGGAUUUACUGGGUGUAAAGGGCGUGUAGGCGGAGAUGCAAGUCAGGAGUGAAAUCUAGGGGCUCAACCCCUAAACUGCUUUUGAAACUGUAUCCCUUGAGUAUCGGAGAGGCAGGCGGAAUUCCUAGUGUAGCGGUGAAAUGCGUAGAUAUUAGGAGGAACACCAGUGGCGAAGGCGGCCUGCUGGACGACAACUGACGCUGAGGCGCGAAAGCGUGGGGAGCAACCAGGAUUAGAUACCCUGGUAGUCCACGCUGUAAACGAUGAAUACUAGGUGUGGGGGGACUGACCCCCUCCGUGCCGCAGUUAACACAAUAAGUAUUCCACCUGGGGAGUACGAUCGCAAGAUUGAAACUCAAAUGAAUUGGCGGGG
rnacentral:rRNA from 1 species